CCAUGUCAAAUUGUAUGGAUAUAAAUAGUUCAAUAAUUAACCAACUGCAUUGAAAUAGCGUGAAAAUCAUAUUAAUAAAGCUAUAAUACAACCAUUAAAUGUAGUAAAAGAUAUUUCACAGACUCCCUAAUCUUCUCUUAUAUAUGCAAAUUCUUUUAGAUAAAAUUGCCACUAUUAGUAAGCUAAGUAAUGGUUGGGAUCCAAUGAGUACAGUUGCCAGAACAAGUAAAUCUACAGUAGGUGUUCCCAAGCAAAUCAAACCUUCCUUAGUUUUGACUUCAACUCAAAAUUCACUCCCUCUGGAUAAGUGAUGCAGGGAAUCAACAAAUAGUUUAUAAUUAUGUUUUUAUAAAAUACUUAUUGCAAUUGGUGUUCCUUAACUGGUUAGGUUUAUUUUCUUAGUUCGGAAGUACCAUUAGUGUUUAGGGUUCCUGUUUUACUCAAUAAUACCCCAAUUUCCUACAUUAAAUCUAAAGAUAAUUGUAAGUUUCUCAGGUAUUUAAAUUUGAUAUUUCUUCAGCUCCUCAUUGUCUGCAUCAGGUGUAUUAUUACUUCCCAAUUGCUCCAUUCUCUCUGAGAAAUGCAAAGCAGCAGAAGAACUAAGGCCAG
rnacentral:misc_RNA from 1 species